rnacentral:rRNA from 1 species
AUUGAACGCUGGCGGCAUGCUUUACACAUGCAAGUCGAACGGCAGCGCGGGGCAACCUGGCGGCGAGUGGCGAACGGGUGAGUAAUAUAUCGGAACGUACCCAAGAGUGGGGGAUAACGUAGCGAAAGUUACGCUAAUACCGCAUACGAUCUAAGGAUGAAAGCAGGGGACCGCAAGGCCUUGUGCUCCUGGAGCGGCCGAUAUCUGAUUAGCUAGUUGGUGAGGUAAAGGCUCACCAAGGCGACGAUCAGUAGCUGGUCUGAGAGGACGACCAGCCACACUGGAACUGAGACACGGUCCAGACUCCUACGGAGGCAGCAGUGGGGAAUUUUGGACAAUGGGCGCAAGCCUGAUCCAGCAAUGCCGCGUGAGUGAAGAAGGCCUCGGUU